AGUGAACGCUGGCGGUAGGCCUAACACAUGCAAGUCGAACGGCAGCACAGUAAGAGCUCGCUCUUACGGGUGGCGAGUGGCGGACGGGUGAGGAAUACAUCGGAAUCUACUUUUUCGUGGGGGAUAACGUAGGGAAACUUACGCCAAUACCGCAUACGACCUACGGGUGAAAGCAGGGGAUCUUCGGACCUUGCGCGAUCGAAUGAGCCGAUGUCGGAUUAGCUAGUUGGCGGGGUAAAGGCCCACCAAGGCGACGAUCCGUAGCUGGUCAGAGAGGAUGAUCAGCCACACUGGAACUGAGACACGGUCCAGACUCCUACGGGAGGCAGCAGUGGGGAAUAUUGGACAAUGGGCGCAAGCCUGAUCCAGCCAUACCGCGUGGGUGAAGAAGGCCUUCGGGUUGUAAAGCCCUUUUGUUGGGAAAGAAAAGCAGCAGGUUAAUACCCCGCUGUUCUGACGGUACCCAAAGAAUAAGCACCGGCUAACUUCGUG
rnacentral:rRNA from 1 species